AGUGAACGCUGGCGGUAGGCCUAACACAUGCAAGUCGAACGGCAGCACAGUAAGAGCUUGCUCUUACGGGUGGCGAGUGGCGGACGGGUGAGGAAUACAUCGGAAUCUACUUUUUCGUGGGGGAUAACGUAGGGAAACUUACGCUAAUACCGCAUACGACCUACGGGUGAAAGCAGGGGAUCUUCGGACCUUGCGCGAUUGAAUGAGCCGAUGUCGGAUUAGCUAGUUGGCGGGGUAAAGGCCCACCAAGGCGACGAUCCGUAGCUGGUCUGAGAGGAUGAUCAGCCACACUGGAACUGAGACACGGUCCAGACUCCUACGGGAGGCAGCAGUGGGGAAUAUUGGACAAAGGGCGCAAGCAUGAUCCAGCCAUACCGCGUGGGUGAAGAAGGCCUUCGGGUUGUAAAGCCCUUUUGUUGGGAAAGAAAAGCAGCAGGUUAAUACCCCGCUGUUCUGACGGUACCCAAAGAAUAAGCACCGGCUAACUUCGUG
rnacentral:rRNA from 1 species